AUUUUUUCGAUUGAACCUUCUUUACCGUACUGGCUGUUUACUUGGCCUUUUUUUUGUAAAAAUCCCAUGCUUAUGAUGUUUUCCUUAAAUACAUAAUCUUGUGUAUUCCUUCUGUAAUUUGUACCAAUUUUAAAUUAUUUCUAUAUUUAUGUGACUUUUUCCUUAGUUACUUUGGAUUCCUUGUGAUUACAAUUGGAUCCGGGAUCCUCUUGGUUGAUUUUCGAACUGAUGUCCUAUUUUUUACUUUAUAUAUACACUGUUAUUUCAACCUUCCUUGAUUACCUGCUAUGUAUUUUGCUUUGUUUAUUUUGCCUUGUAUUUUGCCUUACUGGACUGUUUUCUUUUCCUUAUUCUGCCUUGACUAACCGUUUGAACUAGACUCCUUAAUUAAAGGAGUCCAGUUGUCUUAAUUGACACUAAUUGAUUGCUAUUUCCAUGUUCGUGCACUCUUUGCCUAUGUAUUGCUCGCUUUCAAAACUAUAUAAAGAUACGUUUUCCCUCUUUGUAAACACACUUAGAUUCACAUGAACAAAAACCCUUCCAAUUUCAUAGUUUGUUGUGAAUCCCUACCCCUAUUCCCUUCUAUGUGCUUGAGUUAACGUCUUGGCCUGGCAGUAUCCUAAUUACUUCCCAGGCCUUAACAUGAUCCACAAUGGGUCCUAACUCCUAAGUUUGGCUAACAGGCUAGUCAGGGGUGUGCGAGCAUUUCCAAUUUUUGGGCAUGACCACCAGUAUGCCAUGGCUCUCGCUGAAUCCCCCUAUGUACUUACAUUUAUUCUUAUACUCUUAAGUUAUGCCCCACUCUUAUGAGCCUUGCUUUGGGACCUUGAGUUCCCUCAGAACUUGGACAUAUGAGGGGUGGCAUUUCCACACUUCCCUG
rnacentral:lncRNA from 1 species